rnacentral:lncRNA from 1 species
UCACGGGUGUCAUUCGGUUUAACGAGAGAAAUGAUCGUGAAUAAAUAUCUAACGGUGGUCAAGUAUUGCGAGACGAUCGUGAAAGCUCUGGUACCGGAUCGUGAAAGACAUUUAAUGUAAAUAGUAGUUCAGAAUCUGUGAACAAAUCGCUUAAUUUUCGAAACGCGGAACAAAUCCGAACAAAAAAAUAUGUCUGUCAAAAUGGUUCAACUUCCUCAACAUUACUG